ACUUUACAAACCUUCUAAUCACUCCAAAAUCACUCUCUAAUCACUCCAAAAAUUCCCAGCUUUGAGCAGAAAGUUUAAGUAAUUCAAAGUGAGUUGUAGCUCACUUCUUCAACUCUUUUCUUCUUGUUUCUUCAUCAAAAACACUUGGAUAACCUCUAGGAAGGUUUUCACAAGUUUGCUUGGGCAAACUAAGGUGAAACCUCACCAUUUUUGAGGUCCAAAGUGCAUAUAAAAUUCUGCACAUUUUUAUUUCUUUUUAUGUUCAUAUUUUGAUAGAAAACUUGGUGGAAUCUUGUUCCCACCAAGCUCACAACUUAUUCUAUGGUUGUGGGUUUGUGUUUAGGGGAUUUCCAUCAAAGUUUUGGGUUCAAACAUCCCUUUUAUUUCUGUUUACACAUAACAAAUCAAUGAUGAAAACAAGCACAAGACAUCAUCUUUUAUAUGAUGAACUUGUGACUUGUGAAGUGUGAACAAAUGGAAGCUUUGGCUUUCCAAACUAAGUUCCACUCCUUCAUUUGAACAUUUUGUAACAUGUUAGAUUAGAUUUACUUUAUUAUAUGUUCAUGACCCUCCUUGUUGUUUAUAACAACAAGUGUAGUGGUGAACAAUAGAGGUGCCUAAAUGGAAGCUUGUUCUUCCUACCUCAUGUAUGAACUCUAUGACACAAAGAGGUGCCUAAAUGGAGACAUUGAUCUCCUACCUCAUGCUUGAAUCAUAAGACUUGUAACCAAUAUAAUAUCUAAGCUAUUCUAUGUACAUACAUAUAUACCUAAGUAACUAAACUUGAUGGUAACUUAAUAGUUACUUGUCAAGAAUAUGUUACAUCAUCUAUGACCAUGCUCUUGUUACGACUCUAAUGGACCUUUGAAUCCAUGAAAUCAUACCAACUCUUUUGAGUUCUAAUAGUGUCAAGAACAAGGGUUAUGUGUACUAGAUGAUUAUUUUCACAUGUUAUUCUCAUAUGUUAUUUUCAUAUUCUUUUAUUCCGAAUCUCGACUCUAAACAUACUUGAACUUUAACCCUUACAUAUUCAACCUUCUAACCCCAUCAACUUCGUCACAUUGGAUAAUCGGAAAGCAUAUGCAAAUUUGUUGAGGAUGAUGAUGCUAUGAAAUGAAGUAGCGUUGAUGCUUAGAUACACAUAUAGACAUUUAGGUUUAAUGGAUAUAUCAAUUUUGAUUAUGUUGUAUCGUAUUUCCUUUGAACUUGACGUUAUUUGAUUUCUUUGUAAUGUUGACAAAUGAAUUAUGAAAUGAAAUUGGU
rnacentral:lncRNA from 1 species